rnacentral:ncRNA from 2 species
CUGAUCACAAAGGGGAGUCCAUAUGGACUGAGAUUGAGUAUACUCUCUAAACCCUUCGUACCUGUUUCGAUCAUUCGAACGUAGGAAUUGUGACGAGUUGAAGU